AUGGGGAUCAUGAGGAAGCAACUGAAGAAUUACUUCUACAAGACGCGGACGACGAGCGACACCGGCAAGCACAAUGAGUUCUCUGAGUGGAGGAUUUCAGAGAUGAAAUUAUGCGCGGCGUGCCGCGGCGCACAACCCGCUAGUAAUGGACUAGACCCCCUUUCCUUUCCUCUUCCUCACCCGAGUCUCCACCUCCCCUCCUCGUCACCGCCGACGCCGGAAUCCCCACCCCACCCCUUCUCGCUCGCUCGCGUGUCGCCGCCGCCGUCGCCGUUCACCUUCUCCCUCAUCGCGCCCCUCCCGCAUCCACCCCGUCCGCAAGCUCUGCUGGCCAUCGGGGUUUCAUCGGGUACGGGGUUCUUUUCAUCCGGCGACCCCGCCGGCCCUGCUUCAGGUUUUGUUUGUUUUCGACAGCCCUUCUCGGGGGCUGCUUUCAAGUUGGGAUCUGUAGCUUUCAUCGUCGUUGCAUACAGAUCUGGUUUGCAGCCCACGGUGGCUAUUCCGAAUUUCAUUUACUGCAGUUCCUUUUAUCGGAUUGUUGCUGGAACGAACCCUCAAGGGUUUUCUUCUCACAAGUGUGAAACUGAUUUGGGAUGCAAUUCCUGGUUGGUUAAACUCUUUUCAGCCAAACAAACAGUGGAUCUGGAAUUCCAGGCCAGUUCGGCAGCAAUGGAUAAAACACACAAGGAGGAGGCAGUGAAAACCACAUGUCAUGAAGAUACUACCAGUACUGAUGGAUCAAGCAUGGAUGAAUACGAUCCAUGGAAUCCUCCGUAUCCUCCUCCAUGCCCUCCUGCUGUUGAAUAUAGCUUAAGUGACUCUAUCCGUUUAGUAGCUAAGUGGUCACGUGAGAAAGAAGCUGCACUUGGUGCCCUCAGAGCAUCCAGUAUAAUCUUCCCAGAACGCAUCCCUAAGGAGGUGAAUCAUCUCUUCCAUGAUAAAGUGCACCAUUUGGCACCCAUCCUGGAUAAGGAUAGCGUCCGGCGCUUUCUCAGCUAUAUGGAGAGGAAUGGGCAGGGCAUGCGAUGGGGUUCGAUCAUCACCCCAGAGGCUUUGAACCAUAUGAUUUCACAAAAUGCGGUGAAAUGUGUCAAAAUUGUCUUGGAGGGCCAGGCACCUGAGCUUGAUGGGUGCCGAGCCGGUCCCAACUGCAUGAACCAGUAUGGGUACUAUCCCCUCCACCGAGCUGCUGAAUUUUUUUCGGUUGACAUGAUUCAGUUGCUCGUCCGCCACGGCGCAUCCGCCAAUCUACGCACAGCCGGUGCUGAGGUCAUCGAGGGCCUUCUCCCACUCCAUGUUGCAGUCGAGAACACGUGUAUGCAUAAGUAUCUGGAAGACAGUCUGUUUCCUAACCACGAGCAUCGGGAUUACAGUGUGGCAGAUGCCAACUUUAUCUUCAAGCUCAUCCAUCUUCUGUGCCUACCUGAAAUGAAGAUCUUCUUGGAUACGACUCGGCUGAUUGCAAAAUACACAGAUAAUCUAUUGGAUGAGCUGUGGAAUUACAUAAAAGAGGGAAAGCUUGCCGAGACAGCCGUUUUGCUCAUGGCAGCUCAAGAGCAGAUACGCAUGGGAACUUCUCGCAAGAGAAAUGGAGAUAGCUUUUGUUCAAUUUCUGUUGGAAUAAGAACAACAGGGAAGGAGUGA
rnacentral:rRNA from 1 species